ensembl:lncRNA
CUUUGAUAGGUUCCACACUUCUGCUACUUUGGCCGCUGCCAUUGGCCCUCACCACUUCGCUCUCCUAUUGGCUACGGAAGAAGCACCGGGGGGAAUGUUAGCUAACAACUUUGGGACCCAGACUGGUGCCUGGGAGGCUGCGGGCGCCUCCGGUGGUGUGGGUAGGUGCGGCGCUGGCUCUCAAGGUCAAACUACUGGCGGCCGUUAGGACCCGCGCUCAGAGCCUCGAGGCCCGGACGCGAGAACACUGUUCCCGCGGGAUCUCGCGGCGGCGGCGGGGCCGGGGCUGACCCUGCUGGGCACUCCCUGCUCGGCCGGGUGCCAGACUAGGAAGUGGCUGGGGCACGCGGGCUGGCUCCAAUCCCGCUUCUCCGCCAGGGAUGACCGCAGCGACCUCCUGGACCCCGGUCGACUCUGGAGUUUUGGACGGACCCUGAAAGACCCAGUGGACCUCGGCCCCAGCCCCUUCACGGGCCUUACACCCGAAAAGUCGCUCCGCUUCAAGACUGCUCCUGCUCCAGGGCCGCGACGUUGUGCAGAGGCUGAAGCUGAAACCUCCGCUGAGGACCCCAGGCGCCGUUUCCACCCAGUCAGCACGGCAUCUUCAUUCUCCUCUGGAUCGUAUUUGCACAAGCUUUCCCCGUUUUCACUUCUGUUUUUAUUACUCAUUUUAAUGAGAUGAUGCAACUGUUAACUUUCCCAUCUGUUUGUAGCCCUUAGGUGGGGAAGAGGUUUUCCAUUUUCUUUCUAAAGCUUAGUCCUUCUCUGGACCUCUGAUCCCCCUCCCCCAUCCAGUCUAUUCUCUUCCUUUUCAGUAGUGGUUAUUAACUUUUCCGUAGCGACCUUUUGUAAAAUAAUAAAGCUACAAAUUCUCUUUCUCCCACUCCCUAUUUCCCAUGCACACACAAAAUUUUGCAUAUAACGCCUGAGUUGCAAAGUCCCUAAAAUGACUUGUGCACUCCUUAAGUACAUUCACAUGUACCUUCGAAGCCUACAGCAGUGUCUGCUCCUUUCCCUUGAGAAAUGAAUAGGGGCCACAUAAACCCCUCAAUCCUGCUUGAGUACUGAUUCCCUUUACUGCCAAAUUGCUCCAGUAAGACCUUACACCUCCUAUGCUCUUUAAGCUCUAUACUGUAUUUUUACUGCUUUAUUCAGUGGUCAUAAAUUUUCUUUCCAAAUCCAAUGGCCAUUUUCUUUUUUUUAAAAUGAUGCACAUUGCUUUAUUAAAGUGAAAUUUAAAUAAACAUGUAUACAUUCGAUGGAGUUUUCCCAUUUUAUAAUCUCACAGUGAUGAUGCUUCCUUAAAUUGCAGUGUGCACACACACAGAUGUAAGGCCUCUUCCCUUUAGUUACCUAAAGAGAAAUUGAUUCCCAAAUGAUAGGCCAUAAGAGCUGUAGGAAUUCAUAGGGAAAUGAGUGAUGGGGCAACCAAUGAGGGCUAAGGAGAUGAGUAUCAUUUACAUUUCAGCAAUUUUCAAACUGGAGAAUAUGUACAGAAAGACUUUUCAAGGCAUAUGUGGGAAGUAGUUUCAAGGGAAUCAAUUUGCUGUUCUUCAUCCACAUGCAUUUCUUCCUAAAAUUCAUCUUCCUCAAAAAGCAAUUGAGGUAGUUUUCCUACCCUCCUCCUUUUUUUUGUACCAGGCAUCUAAGUCAGGUCCUUGCACUUAUGAGGCAGACAGCAGACCCACUGAGCUAAGUCCCCAGCCUUUCCUCCCCUUUCUAAAUGCCCCCUCCACUCACACCUGUAAAGAAAGGUGUAACCUCAUCCAUCCUUCAUCUUGCUGUGAUUCAUUCCCUGGAUACUUUAAAAAAAUCUGGGUGUAGGCAAGGUCUCCUUUAAUCCAGGUGCAGCUGUAGAUUUCAUAUCGUUCUUGAUUUACAUAUAUUUCUGUUGAGUAAAAACCUUGGCUUUAAGCACAAUUUGGCCAUUGAGGGAUAAUAUAUCAGUGGCUCACACCUCUAAUCCCAGUACUUUGGGAGGCUGAGGCAGAAGGAUUGUAAAUUCAAGACCAGCCUGGG